AGUGAACGCUGGCGGUAGGCCUAACACAUGCAAGUCGAACGGCAGCACAGUAAGAGCUUGCGCUUACGGGUGGCGAGUGGCGGACGGGUGAGGAAUACAUCGGAAUCUACUUUUUCGUGGGGGAUAACGUAGGGAAACUUACGCUAAUACCGCAUACGACCUACGGGUGAAAGCAGUGGAUCUUCGGACCUUGCGCGAUUGAAUGAGCCGAUGUCGGAUUAGCUAGUUGGCGGGGUAAAGGCCCACCAAGGCGACGAUCCGUAGCUGGACUGAGAGGAUGAUCAGCCGCCCUGGAAGUGAGACACGGUCCAGGCUCCUACGGGAGGCAGCAGUGGGGAAUAUUGGACAAUGGGCGCAAGCCUGAUCCAGCCAUACCGCGUGGGUGAAGAAGGCCUUCGGGUUGUAAAGCCCUUUUGUUGGGAAAGAAAAGCAGCAGGUUAAUACCCCGCUGUUCUGACGGUACCCAAUGAAUAAGCACCGGCUAACUUCGUG
rnacentral:rRNA from 1 species